rnacentral:rRNA from 1 species
GCUCACCAAGCCGACGAUCUGUAGCUGGUUUGAGAGAACGACCAGCCACACUGGGACUGAGACACGGCCCAGACUCCUACGGGAGGCAGCAGUGGGAAUUUUGGACAAUGGACGCAAGUCUGAUCCAGCCAUUCCGCGUGCAGGAUGAAGGCCCUCGGGUUAGUAAACUGUCUUUUGUACGGAACGAAAAGGUUUGUCUUAAUACGAUGAGCUCAUGACGGUACCGUAAGAAUAAGCACCGGCUAACUACGUG